AGCAGCAGCCGCGGUAAUACGUAGGGGGCGAGCGUUGUCCGAAGUUACUGGGCGUAAAGCGCGCGUAGGCGGCUUCUUAAGUCUGAGGUGAAAGGUUCAACGCUUAACGUGAACAGUGCCUUGGAUACUGGGGAGCUUGAGUAUGGGAGAGGGCAGUGGAAUGGCUGGUGUAGCGGUGAAAUGCGUAGAUAUCAGUCGGAACACCCAUGGCGAAGGCAGCUGCCUGGCCUAAUACUGACGCUGAGGUGCGAAAGCGUGGGGAGCGAACGGGAUUAGAUACCCCUGUAGUCCCUGUCUCUUAUU
rnacentral:rRNA from 1 species